rnacentral:rRNA from 1 species
AACCUGGCUGGGUGGUCUGCCUUCACGGUACGUACUGCUCGGCCGGGUUCUACCUCUUGGUGAGCCAGCAUGCCCUUUACUGGGUGUGUUGGGGAACCAGGACUUUUACCUUGAGAAAAUUAGAGUGUUCAAAGCAGGCGUUCGCCCGAAUACAUUAGCAUGGCAUAAUAAAAUAGGACU